rnacentral:lncRNA from 1 species
UUGCAGCGGAAAUAAAUUCUUUAUUGCAAAAUGAUUACUUGUUACAAUAAGUUUACAUUAUACAAUUAUCGGAGUGAUUACAAAAGGAAAUGAUUAAAAAGAAUUACACUUUAAAAUGUAUACAACAUUUAUAAUUUUUAAAAUACAUGCUAGCUUAAGUGGCAAUCCUCAAUAAAGAAGCUAAAGAUGGGAUAUACUUAUAUAAGAAGGCCGAGCCCACCGGCACUUAGCACCAUCCACAACAGAACAAAAUUACAACCUGAAAAACAAUAGGGAAUAAAACCCUGAGUACGUAAUUACUCAGCAAGACUUACCCGACUAAAGAAAAGACUCUCAAGGAUACGCUGGUUUGUCAGGAAUCAAGGUAAAGCUUAUCAAAUUUGAAAGACUCAUUUUCGCAGAAAAGCUUACUAGUAGUGGAUCCUUAUGCAAAAAUUUUACUUCACAAAUUAAGUACUUUUCCUGAAUCUAGAUUUUGCCUAAUCUAGAGCAUUCACUUGUCCUACACUAGCUUUAUUUUAGCAGCUUUAGUUUCACUUGUUAUCUACGAUGAAGGUCGAAGAUCCAGUCUUCAUAUCCGAGAAGUUUGGCGAUCUGAAUCGAUUAAUACCCAGCUGGAGAUCUCCAACCACACGACAUAUGUAGCACUUAACCCUUGCAUAUGUCAACUCGCCACCGGGUUUCUCAAGACCAGAACAGGUUCACGCGACCCAAGAGCACAUCACUCCACUGUCCAGCCGUUGGCCUGGUUGGUACACGUUACUCUCGCCAUGGUGCCCGCCAUGUUUCCGAGAGUACAGCACCCCACCUUCCAGUCUCUUGCCACAGAGGGUACAAGCUACUCUCGCCAUCUCUCCACUCCCAGUGCGUGCGAGCUGUUCUGGUAUUGGUCCGACCGAGGCUAAGCUUACCCAUGAUGAGGCAUGUGGCCAGUUAAAGGGUCCUAGAUCAGCAGGCCAACAAUCGGAACGGUCCUUAAGCGACACAGACGGGCGACCUUUCCUGCUCAACGUCUGGUCUCAUCUUAUUAUUUAACACCCAAACCAUGUUCCUGACAGAGGUACCAUACUUGAAUGAUGAAUUCAUCACUGCAGAUGAUGCGCUCACCAUUACAAGUCCUUUUUCAUAAAACAAACCCAUACCCAGUGUCACACAUCAUUCUUUUAAAAAGAAACAAGUUUUAAUUCUCUAGGCAGGGCUAAGCCUCAUUAGUUCUCUUUACAAAACAGGUAGCAAGGAAGAGAAUCAAAUUCCAAGGAAUGGUAAUGCAUCAAUUGUUUAUUCACUCAACUCCUAUCACCUAAUGCAGCAGAUAAGUGAUAAAAAGUUUUUAAACGUCUGGUCUCAUCUUAUUAUUUAACACCCAAACCAUGUACCUGACAGAGGUACCAUACUUGAAUGAUGAAUUCAUCACUGCAGAUGAUGCGCUCACCAUUACAAGUCAUUUUUCAUAAAACAAACCCAUACCCAGUGUCACACAUCAUUCUUUUAAAAAGAAACAAGUUCUAAUUCUCUAGGCAGGGCUAAGCCUCAUUAGUUCUCUUUACAAAACAGGUAGCAAAGAAGAGAAUCAAAUUCCAAGGAAUGGUAAUGCAUCAAUUGUUUAUUCACUCAACUCCUAUCACCUAAUGCAGUAGAUAAGUGAUAAAAAGUUUUUAAAACAGCAAGUAGGUGGCAAAUGCACCGGGGCUUGCCUGGGAUAACACUAAGUUAGUGUUGUUAAAUGAAGGCUACUUGACGAUCAACUUUUGUUCUGACAUCUGCUUAGUCCAUCCAUCUUCGGGCUCAUUGGCCGACAUCGUCUUGUGGGUUGUUUUGAUCCACACCCUUCGCUUCGCACGAUUUUUCAGCUAGCGUACCUAUUUGAAUGUACAAUGCACAUGUAUGAACUACAAUAUUAUAUGAAGUUCUCUAGCAAAGCAUUAUAAGCAAGCAUAAGUAAUCACUAGAUACAUUAACUCACACAACAAGCAUGAUCUUCUAAUCAAUCAAACCUAACUUAAACACCAAACAAUCGUGAACCAUGUAUGGAUCCUCUUUAACUAGAACAUACACCAAACGAUUACCAUAAUUUGAACUUAUUAGCCUUGGGCAUCUACAACUUCGAAUUUGAAUAGAAAUACUUUAACUAACUUUUUAAACUAUUUCAUCGGAUUAACUAGCAUAGCGCACGAGCUAAAUAACACAUCACACUAUUUUUCCUAGCAAGUAGAGCAUCAUCAAAUAUUACAUAAUCUCAUUUGACUAUAACCUAGAAGAAAAAAAGAUUUUAAGCGCCUAAAUGCACUUCCCACUAUAUAGCUCUCGGAUUACAACUAGAAUAAACCUAUUGAUGCUAUUUGCUUCCAACUAAUAAGGAUAAUGAGGAACAUUUAUUUAAGAUGAUUAACUUAAGCGACCAAUCUUCAUUUAUGAUAUUUACUUAAUCAACAACCAUAGAACAUGAUAAUUACUAAAACAAAGCAUCACUUCACCAAUUAAGAAUCAGCUAAACUUACUUAGCCAAACAAUAGUAACUUCAAACUAACAAUUUAAUACUUCCAGAAUUUUUAGAAUUUUUAGACAGCAGUACAGCGGUUAAUUUUUUAUUCAUAACUCACAAAAUAUGCAUCCAAAAAUAGUAAACUAGGACUUUCUGGAAAGCUUAGAAAGUCCUCUGUAACUCUUAUAUUAUCAUCACAACAUGAUUCGACAGUUUGAAUGGUCAAACAGUGCUAAACUUUAAUUCUGUUCAGAUUUGGACAGAAUUCGGCUCUUCACUUCAAAAAUCCAUAACUGGAGUUUCAGAAAUCCAAAUCAGGUGAUCUUAGACUUUUUAGAAAGUUAAUAGAAUUGUCUAUAAUUCAUUUAUAAUCAUCUCAAAGUGAUUCAAUGUGUAUCAAAGUCAGUUAAUACAAACAAACAUUGUUGUCCAGAUUUGAACAGAUUCAGACUCUAUAGUUCAAACAGCUGUAACAUGGUCUCUAGACCACCAAAAAGGGUGCUCCAAAAUUUGUUGGAAAGCUUAAGCAAAGUACUACAAUUAUCCUAUAAUUACUAAGGGCUGAUUCUCAAUUUAACUUAGCCAAACAAUCCAAUUUCCGGAACCUGUACAGAAUUUAGACAGAUUCUGAAACUGGACUUGGGAAAAUCAUAACUCUUAAACUACUAAACCUAUGGUCAUGAAAAUUUAACACAAGAAAGAUGGGAAGGUUACCUACUACUUUUAUAUACAACACUUUCAAAGAAAAUCUGAUUUACUUCACUCAAUUAGUUGCACAAUCAAAACUGUACCUGCAGCCCUAAACAGCAAGAAUCCUAAUUUAGUUCCUAUUUAGCUUCUACAAUCACCAUGUGCUUGGUACUUCAACUAUUCUAACAUUUUAUCUUAAAGUAAAACUAAAACCACCUGCUUAAUCACCUAGAUAGAUUUGUCUACUUCAUAACCAUGCACACAAUCACUUCGUAUGAACUUGUAUUUCUAUCGUCAACUUCACGAAUUAAAUAGAAGCAACAUAGACAACACUUGUAGAAUUUAUCGGCUAAUCAUUUGAAACAUUAACCUAAUUUCGUAUUAUUAAUUCACCACAUACCGUGACUGCUUCACAAUCACAAACACCAGCACCUCGCAAACAUCAAACCAAUUCAAAAUACUAGAGAUAUGCAUCACCACCUAAACCUCGCCAUACAUAUAAGCUACAUCUAUUUUACAAUCGUGAACACUCUCACGUUGCCAUUAUCGCGUAUGAAACAAACAAGAUAAUUAUCGACUAAUGUAUAGAACCAAUCUAAGUAUCCAACCAAUAAAAUGAAUAGUGAAUCGACUCACCAUAACUAAAUUGAACUCGAAUCUCGCAGGACCGACGACGAUCACCAGUUCAUCCAAUUGAUUGAAUAUCCGGGAAGCGUUGUGCUGGAGUCAUUCUCACCAUACAAUCAAUGAUUUCUCUCCUCACAAAAUCACAUAUACGUACAUGGUUAAAGACAAAAUACCCAUGCCGAGUGAGGAAACAAGUAUAGAAGAAACAGCAGGGUCUCACCACGACGAGGACGAUGACGUGUCAGAGCUGCUAGAUCAAGGCAGCAGUGACAACAAGAUUAAGGGCUCACAUCAUCAACACCCUCGAUCCAAGUCAUAGCGGAAAAACACUGUAGCGACACCAGAGGAGUGUCCCAGACCAACCCAGGGCAGGUUGCCAGGAUCCAGGCGAGACGUCGGGGUGGAACGAUGCGUCAACUUCUUGUUGGGCAAAUCGUCGAGCAGCUAGCGAGCGACGCACUAAGGCUUUCAUUUCCUUCAUCAUCCGAUCAACAUCUGAGUAGGAUGGGGUCGAGCUAGAUGGGGAGGGGUGUCUCUAGAUGGACUUGGCACGAGCCUGACGAGGUGGAGGUGCAGCCAUGGGUGAUGGCGAGCUGCUGGGAACGGCGGCCGACGACGUCCAUGGCUGGGGGCAGGGGCGAGUGCCAGGGAGGAGAGGGACUGGGAGUGGCUGCUGGCGAGCUGCAGAGGCACACAGAAGAAGAGCACCGAGAGGGAGAGACCAUGGCGGCGAUGCUCGAGUAGGAGAGGGCGCUCGACGCAGGGGGAGAUGGCUGACGGCCAUGGAGGACGAGGAAUGGAGGGAGGGCGCCGUGAAGGAGAGGGCUGGCGUGGGGAAUAGAGCGAGCAAGGAGAAGUGCGCUUUGGAAAUCCUCCAGAACAG